CUGGAUUACGUCUCAUCGUCACACAGCAGGGCCGUUGGACAGGUGUGUGCCCAGCUUUUGGAUCCAAGACCUCUCUAUUCUCCUACGUUGCUGGACCGACCAUGCUGGGUUGGACUCCAGGAUGGUGGCCCUGAGGUUGGUCCAGCCGUGGUCCACAAAAUGCUGGACUAAGGGGAUGUGUAGAUUUUUUUGUUUA